GUCGUGGCGGCUGGUGGACAAGGGGAGCUGGAGAGGGGUUCGCCCAGGACCUAGGGCAGUUGGGCUGUAGCUGGCAGCCGUGGGUAAGUGAGGACAGCGGUCUGUCGGCCAGGUGAGUCCCCUCCCCUCCCUGGGCCUUGCUUUGCUGGCCUUCUGCAAGGAAGAGGUUCCAGGGAGCAAGGAGCAGCGAGGAGAAGCGGCUGACCUCCCGGCAGAGCGGCAGGACAAAGGAGGGCGGUCAGGACAGGUGACAUCGUCUCAGGGGGAGCUGAGACUGUGUAGGCUGGGGGGCCGUGUGCCCUUCCCAAGUGGAAUGAGCGUUUCAAGAGAGCGGGCGGGACAUGAGGCAGGGCUGCCAGUGAGGGAGGUGACAGGUGGCUGAGGGGAUCCAGCUUGUGGGGGACCCCAGGCCCGGGUCGGACAGGAGGAGGUGGGGACUCAGGAGGCUGUAGGGUCCCCAGCCGUCACUACAUCUCACCCACCGAAAUUCAUUUAGUAGAAGGUACAGGAGCGGCUCCAGCACGGGCCUCCCAAGGCCCGUGUCGGAGCCUCGAGGGCUGGAGAGUGGGAAAGAAGGAGCAGUGCGCGGGGCGACCCGCAGCAGGACGUCACCCGGAGGGCGCGGCGGCCACAGCCAGGUCUCCAGGACGGGUGACGUGCCUGCCAGCUGCCGAAGGCCGGGCGCGAGGCUGCGCUCAGAGGGCUACGACAUGGUCUGGUGUGACGGUGAGGAUGGGCGUGACGCCGUCCGGCCUUCCCGAACAUUCUAGGCUGGCACCGCGAGGGGUCAGAACACCUACAGGUCUUGUUGCUUUGCGUUCCUGA
rnacentral:lncRNA from 1 species